UAAGAUACAUGAAGAGAUAAGUAACUUGAAUCAAAAAUGAAUCCGAGCAAAAUGUUGUUCUUUCCAAACUUGAAUGAAUCAGAAACGUUAUUUCCUCUCAAUUCUUAAGAAACGAGAAAACAUUUUCUUCUCAACAACUUCAAGGAAACCAAAAACAUUUCCUUCAUUCCAAAAUUUUAGAAACCAGAAGCUAUUCUUCCAUGAAUUUCUAAGAAGUAGGGGAAAAUUUCGUUCAAUCAACGAGGGUUUUUCAACGGAAUAUUAUACGGAGUUUUCUCUACUCCAGGUCCAGACAGACAGGUCGAGAGUCCUCCAAGUAGACUCUCAGCUCAGCGGAAGAUGGUUGCUGAAGAUGGUGUAUCGCUCCAUUUGCUUCGGAGUUGCGUGUUUGAUUAGUAUGAUUUAGAUGUGUAUUGUUUGGUAUGGUGGGACUCUGUCCCGACCUUUAUGACAUUUAUGUACUCUUAGAGACUUGUAGACUUAUGUCGCGUACGUGAAAGAUUUUACAGCUUUGUCGGCCUAUGUUUUGAAUUUAUAAAUGAUCAUGUUGGCAUAUUAGGCCCGUAUGUCACGUGUA